rnacentral:rRNA from 1 species
GUGGGGAAUAUUGGACAAUGGGCGAAAGCCUGAUCCAGCCAUGCCGCGUGUGUGAAGAAGGUCUUCGGAUUGUAAAGCACUUUAAGUUGGGAGGGAGGGCAGUAAGUUAAUACCUUGCUGUUUUGACGUUACCGACAGAAUACGCACCGGCUAACUUCGUGCCAGCAGCCGCGGUAAUACGAAGGGUGCAAGCGUUAAUCGGAAUUACUGGGCGUAAAGCGCGCGUAGGUGGUUUUGUAAGUUGGAGGUGAAAUCCCCGGGCUCAACCUGGGAACUGCCUCCAAAACUGCAUGACUAGAGUACGGUAGAGGGUAGUGGAAUUUCCUGUGUAGCGGUGAAAUGCGUAGAUAUAGGAAGGAACACCAGUGGCGAAGGCGACUACCUGGACUGAUACUGACACUGAGGUGCGAAAGCGUGGGGAGCAAACAGGAUUAGAAACCCUGGUAGUCC